UACGUAGGGGGCAAGCGUUGUCCGGAUUUAUUGGGCGUAAAGAGCGUGUAGGCGGCUAGGUAGGUCCGCUGUUAAAACUCGAGGCUCAACCUCGAGACGCCGAUGGAAACCAUCUGGCUAGAGUCCGGAAGAGGAGAGUGGAAUUCCUGGUGUAGCGGUGAAAUGCGCAGAUAUCAGGAAGAACACCCGUGGCUAAGGCGGCUCUCUAGUACGGUACUGACGCUGAGACGCGAAAGCGUGGGGAGCGAACAGG
rnacentral:rRNA from 1 species